rnacentral:rRNA from 1 species
UACGAAGGGUACAAGCGUUACUCGGAAUUACUGGGCGUAAAGCGUGCGUAGGUGGUUUGUUAAGUCUGAUGUGAAAGCCCUGGGCUCAACCUGGGAAUUGCAUUGGAUACUGGCAGGCUAGAGUGCGGUAGAGGAUGGCGGAAUUCCCGGUGUAGCAGUGAAAUGCGUAGAUAUCGGGAGGAACACCAGUGGCGAAGGCGGUUGCCUGGGGCUUUGCUGACGCUGAUGCGCGAAAGCGUGGGGAGCGAUCCGG